AUUGAACGCUGGCGGCAGGCUUAACACAUGCAAGUCGAGCGGGGUGAUGGUGCUUGCACUAUCACUUAACGGCGGGCGGGUGAGUAAUGCUUAGGAAUCUGCCUAUUAGUGGGGGACAACAUCUCGAAAGGGAUGCUAAUACCGCAUACGUCCUACGGGAGAAAGCAGGGGAUCACUUGUGACCUUGCGCUAAUAGAUGAGCCUAAGUCGGAUUAGCUAGUUGGUGGGGUAAAGGCCUACCAAGGCGACGAUCUGUAGCGGGUCUGAGAGGAUGAUCCGCCACACUGGGACUGAGACACGGCCCAGACUCCUACGGGAGGCAGCAGUGGGGAAUAUUGGACAAUGGGGGGAACCCUGAUCCAGCCAUGCCGCGUGUGUGAAGAAGGCCUUAUGGUUGUAAAGCACUUUAAGCGAGGAGGAGGCUCUUUUGGUUAAUACCCAAGAUGAGUGGACGUUACUCGCAGAAUAAGCACCGGCUAACUCUGUGCCAGCCGCCGCAGUAA
rnacentral:rRNA from 1 species